CUCUGCUUCAGGGCCUUACAGUCAGGUGGGAGAGAAAUUUAUAAACAUAAAAGGAUAAAGCAACAUGAAGUGGACGACUGGCAGGAAACAACUGUAAGGAAUGAAAGAAAGGGAAGGACAGUGCUGUAGGCUGGAUCUGGAAUGUCUCCCAAAGACAUGUGUGUUCAAGGACUGGUCACUGCUGGGGUGUUACUGGGAGACAGUAGAACCUUAACCACAAGGCUGCUAAGGGAAAGAAGUGAGGUCACUGCAAUUGUAUCCUUGAAGGGGAUAUUGGGUCCCCGACUCCUCCACCUUCCACCAUGAGGUGAGAGGAUGAAAUACAGCUGAGUCAAGAGGAGAAGACAAAAUGAUUUUUGCUUGGGAACACUGAGUUAAGAACAGACUGGAACCCACCACUGGGAAGCAAAGUCUACUCCCCAAGGGCACUGUCCAACUAUCAAAGCCAUGAUGCAUCAACAGCUUUGUUUACAGCCCCAGAAGACAGGGAUAGUAACUCCCUAUGGAGUAAAGGGCAGCCCAGCUGACUCCUUCCAUUCGCAGUGAGCAGUAGUCCAACCACUGGUGGACACUGUGGGGCUGUAAGAGGAGCUGGCUCUAAGAUGAAGCUGGGAUGGAAUUCAAAGCAAAAAAGAUGAGAAGGCACACUGGAAAAUGACAAUUCCCAGUCUCCCAUAAAUGUUACUGACUUCUGAAAUCACUGAAUGAAUCUGAUAUAUAGCAUUAUACCAUCACCUGACCUUGAGUGCUCUCCUGAGGUCAAGAACGUAGAAACUGAAGCAGGAAGUCCAGUGUAUACCCAAAGAGAAGCGUGAAAGAAGACCAUUUUUCCCCCCUCUGUGUACUGCAAACUUUUCUGGUUUAUAUUUUGAAAAAA